UUGACCUCGGAUCAGGUAGGGAUACCCGCUGAACUUAAGCAUAUCAAUAAGCGGGAGGAAA
rnacentral:rRNA from 1 species